GACGAACGCUGGCGGCGUGCCUAAUACAUGCAAGUUGAGCGCUGAAGGUUGGUACUUGUACCAACUGGAUGAGCAGCGAACGGGUGAGUAACGCGUGGGGAAUCUGCCUUUGAGCGGGGGACAACAUUUGGAAACGAAUGCUAAUACCGCAUAAAAACUUUAAACACAAGUUUUAAGUUUGAAAGAUGCAAUUGCAUCACUCAAAGAUGAUCCCGCGUUGUAUUAGCUAGUUGGUGAGGUAAAGGCUCACCAAGGCGAUGAUACAUAGCCGACCUGAGAGGGUGAUCGGCCACAUUGGGACGGAGACACGGCCCAAACUCCUACGGGAGGCAGCAGUAGGGAAUCCUCGGCAAUGGACGAAAGUCUGACCGAGCAACGCCGCGUGAGUGAAGAAGGUUUUCGGAUCGUAAAACUCUGUUGGUAGAGAAGAACGUUGGUGAGAGUGGAAAGCUCAUCAAGUGACGGUAACUACCCAGAAAGGGACGGCUAACUACGUG
rnacentral:rRNA from 1 species